AAAAUCCGUCGACUUUUAAAAUCGUGAGGGUUCAAGUCCCUCUAUCCCCAAAA
rnacentral:tRNA from 2 species